UUUUUUCCAAUGAAUUUUCAGGCGGCAAACUUUUAGAGUAGGUUUGAUAUAUAACUCGCAUACCUCGAGGUGAACGAAUCGAAAGUUGGACUCCAUCGCGUUCUUCCCUCGGCAACGACUCUGACUCCGUCAGAUUGAAUCUUCGCAAGGUUUUAGUCUGUCGUUUGUUUCGCUCAUCCCUAAUUUCUUCAUCCCAAGAUCUAUGAGUUUUCAUUCUUUUUUUAAUUUCUGAAAUUUGAGGAAGCUUGGUGUACGAAUCUGAGGACAAUUCGAGAACCGGAGAAUCACAAUCAGCGGUUGCAGGUUUUGAUAAUCUGAGUGCUUUGGUCACUAGCAAUGGAUUCGAAGCUUUGGCACCGAAUUUUGAUUGCGAUUCAGUAUAGAGACGGUUUAGAGUCAAAACCGAACCAGCUCAAUCCGUGUGCAGCCCUACUAAAGACAUUUAGACGAGACAUUAUAUGCAAAGGAUUUGGAAAGUGAGGGAGGCGAAUCAAAGGGCAGAUGAAGCGGAAAAAAGAGCAAUGCAGCUUGCAGAUGAAUUGAUGGCUGUAAAGUCUACUGCAACUCAGCAAAAUGAGGAGGUAGAGACGGUCAAAGCUGGUGCAGCUCAACAAAAUGAAGAGUUAGAGGCAGUGAAGGUUAAAGCCGCUCAACAAAAUGAAGAGUUGGAGGCACUAAAGGCAAGACAAAAUCAGACUGACACACUUUUACUCAAAUUGAUGGCACAGUUGUCCUCCCAAAAAUAAAGGGGUAGCAUUGAAAAAAUCAGCAGAUGAAAAGGGCAUCAAGCAACAUACAUAUCAUUAAAGGCUUUUGAACUUCUAGGAAAACUUGUAUGUACUUCCUUUUAUUUUGAAAUGGCUAUCAAGGAUGGAUAUUGGCAUUUGUAUAUGGAUUAAUUUCAGUUUACCUAUCUGAACUUUCACUCAUUCUUCAUGUUAGUCCCUGAACUUCUAAUUUCAUCAAGAUUACCCCUGAACUCCCAAUUUUAAUCACCCGUGUCCAAUUUUCAAAGCUCCGUCCAAUUUGAACGUUAAAUCUGACGUUGGGGCCCACUAUAAAGGCUAAAAUGGUCAUUUUAAGACCAAAAAAAAAUCAUAACAAAAAAAUAUAUCUUCUUCUUCCUUCAAACUUCUCUCUCACUCUGACGUCUUCUCUCUCAUCUCUGACCUAAUCUAACCUCUCCAUUCCACAAAUUCUCCACUUCCUCACCGAAAAACUCCAAACCCAAAAUGGCGUGGCUGCUGACAUCAGGUCGAAGCCCAGAUCGAGUCUCCACUAACCCAGAUACCCGUGAUGGAGACCGGGCCAUUUCUCCUUCCUUCGGCCACGAAUCGGCGGCAGACUGGUGGCGUUAGCUUUGUCUUGACGUCACCGUCCUCUCUGUGUUCUCUAUUUCUUCAUACAAUUUCCGGUGAGAGAGAAUUGAAGCCCAAAACAUUUCUGGGUUCGCCGAUGGGUUUUCCGAUUCCGGUCAAAUCGUGGCGGUUUACCGGUGUCGAAGCUUUCUCUCGUCCUUGACGACUUAUCCGUGGCGUUCGUUGUCUAGAUAACAAGUUUUGAGGGAGAAUCGAAGAAGAUAACUUUUCUAAGUUUUCCGGUGAUGCUAGGCUUCGAACCCGGUAUCAAACUUCAUCUCCUUGUCGAGCUCUACAAGAUGGUAUAAUCAAUUUACAGUUUUGUUUAGGAUUCAAGGAAUUGCAAUUUUGGGAUAUUCUGUUCUUUCGAGUUUCACUGUUCAUGGUGAUUAUCCGACUUUGCUUGGUUAAUUUUCGAUGACUUAUGGAUCACAGAACAUGAUUUUGGCUCUUAGAUACUAGAUUUGCAGAAAAAAAUAUUUUUCUGUGUGUUGGAGCACUAUGCUCUGAUGAAAUGUGGUGAUUUUGAAGUUCUGUUGCCAAUUUUCGAGCAAUUAUCUCUACUG